rnacentral:rRNA from 1 species
UGGCUCAGAACGAACGCUGGCGGCGCGUCUUAAGCAUGCAAGUCGAACGGCAAGAGGUAGCAAUACCUCCUAGAGUGGCGGACUGGUGAGUAACACGUGGGUGACAUACCCUUCAGAUGGGGAUAGCUAUUAGAAAUAGUAGAUAAUACCGAAUACGAGCACAGGGGUUAGAGAUCUGUGAGGAAAGGAGCUAAGGCUCCGCUGAAGGAAUGGCCUGCGGCCCAUUAGCUAGUUGGUGAGGUAAGAGCCCACCAAGGCGAUGAUGGGUAUCCGGCCUUAGAGGGUGAACGGACACAUUGGGACUGAGAUACGGCCCAGACUCCUACGGGAGGCAGCAGCUAAGAAUAUUCCGCAAUGGACGAAAGUCUGACGGAGCGACGCCGCGUGGAUGAAGAAGGCCGGAAGGUUGUAAAAUCCUUUUGAAACUGAAGAAUAAGCGUUGUAGGGAAUGACAGCGUGGUGACAGUAGGUUUUGAAUAAGCAACGGCUAAUUACGUGCCAGCCGCCGC